rnacentral:rRNA from 1 species
AUUGAACGCUGGCGGAAUGCUUUACACAUGCAAGUCGAACGGCAGCACGGACUUCGGUCUGGUGGCGAGUGGCGAACGGGUGAGUAAUGUAUCGGAACGUGCCCAGUCGUGGGGGAUAACGUAGUGAAAAUUGCGCUAAUACCGCAUACGAUCUAUGGAUGAAAGCGGGGGAUCGCAAGACCUCGCGCGAUUGGAGCGGCCGAUAUCAGAUUAGGUAGUUGGUGGGGUAAAGGCCCACCAAGCCAACGAUCUGUAGCUGGUCUGAGAGGACGACCAGCCACACUGGAACUGAGACACGGUCCAGACUCCUACGGGAGGCAGCAGUGGGAAAUUUUGGACAAUGGGCGAAAGCCUGAUCCAGCCAUCCCGCGUGCAGGAUGAAGGCCCUCGGGUUGUAAACUGCUUUUGUACAGAACGAAAAGGUUUCUACUAAUACUAGGAGCUCAUGACGGUACCGUAAGAAUAAGCACCGGCUAACUACGUGCCAGCAGCCGCCGUAA